AACGAACGCUGGCGGCGCGCCUAAUACAUGCAAGUCGAGCGAGAAGGUGUAGCAAUACACUUGUAAAGCGGCGAACGGGUGAGGAAUACAUGGGUAACCUACCCUCGAGUGGGGAAUAACUAGCCGAAAGGUUAGCUAAUACCGCAUACGAUUCCAGGACUUCGGUCCUGGAAGGAAAGCACUACCGUGGGUAGUGCGCUCCUGGAUGGGCUCAUGUCCUAUCAGCUUGUUGGGAGGUAAAGGCUCACCAAGGCUUCGACGGGUAGCUGGUCUGAGAGGACGAUCAGCCACACUGGCACUGCGACACGGGCCAGACUCCUACGGGAGGCAGCAGUAAGGAAUAUUGCGCAAUGGGCGAAAGCCUGACGCAGCGACGCCGCGUGGGGGAGUGAAGGUCUUCGGAUUGUAAACCCCGUUUCCGGGUAGGGAAGAGGGAAGUGGGCGAACCCAUUCGGACGGUACCUCCAGAAGCAGCCACGGCUAACUUCGUGCCAGCA
rnacentral:rRNA from 1 species